UAGGAGGCCGAUUGAUGGACUUGCUGAUGG
rnacentral:piRNA from 1 species